rnacentral:rRNA from 1 species
GAGCGGUAGAGAGAAGCUUGCUUCUCUUGAGAGCGGCGGACGGGUGAGUAAUGCCUAGGAAUCUGCCUGGUAGUGGGGGAUAACGUUCGGAAACGGACGCUAAUACCGCAUACGUCCUACGGGAGAAAGCAGGGGACCUUCGGGCCUUGCGCUAUCAGAUGAGCCUAGGUCGGAUUAGCUAGUUGGUGGGGUAAUGGCUCACCAAGGCGACGAUCCGUAACUGGUCUGAGAGGAUGAUCAGUCACACUGGAACUGAGACACGGUCCAGACUCCUACGGGAGGCAGCAGUGGGGAAUAUUGGACAAUGGGCGAAAGCCUGAUCCAGCCAUGCCGCGUGUGUGAAGAAGGUCUUCGGAUUGUAAAGCACUUUAAGUUGGGAGGAAGGGUUGUAGAUUAAUACUCUGCAAUUUUGACGUUACCGACAGAAUAAGCACCGACUAACUCUGUG